rnacentral:rRNA from 1 species
GAUGAACGCUGGCGGCGUGCCUAAUACAUGCAAGUCGAGCGAACAGACGAGGAGCUUGCUCCUCUGACGUUAGCGGCGGACGGUUGAGUAACACGUGGAUAACCUACCUAUAAGACUGGGAUAACUUCGGGAAACCGGAGCUAAUACCGGAUAAUAUAUUGAACCGCAUGGUUCAAUAGUGAAAGACGGUUUUGCUGUCACUUAUAGCUGGAUCCGCGCCGCAUUAGCUAGUUGGUAAGGUAACGGCUUACCAAGGCAACGAUGCGUAGCCGACCUGAGAGGGUGAUCGGCCACACUGGAUGUGAGACACGGUCCAGACUCCGACGGGAGGCAGCAGUAGGGAAUCUUCCGCAAUGGGCGAGAGCCUGACGGAGCAACGCCGCGGGAGUGAUGAAGGUCUUCGGAUCGGAAAGCGCUGUUAUUAGGGAAGAACAAAUGUGUAAGUAACUAUGCACGUCUUGACGGUACCGAAUCAGAAAGCCACGGCUAACUACGUG